AUGCAGGUCACCAAAUCCUCAAUAUCCUCUGGCCCAUGUUCAUAUCAAGGAACAGUCCCUGAGUUAUACUUGAGCAGCACCAACAUGGUACUGACAGGGAUUGUGGUCUUUCUAGGUGUCCCCGAGGAGGAAAGACGGCGGCACCAUCCUGUCCGGAGUCACCAGGCUGUUGCUGAGGUAGCCGUAGGAGCACGAGAAGAAGGUGUCGCGAAGCUGAAAAAGCGGCGGCCCCUUCCUGAAACGAGGCAGCAGGCUGGUGCUGAGGUGAGCUUGCCUGUCUUUCCCUGAGGAGCACAAUUGCUUUCUUAGAGGCUUUCCAAUCAACCUCUGUUGUACAUAUGACAGUCUACAUUUUCGAGGAUACUGUUACUUUCCCGGAUGGGGACAGUGGUGGGUGUGUGUGUGUGUGUGUGUGUGUGUGUGUGUGUGUGUGUGUGUGUGUGUGUGUGUGUGUGUGUGUGUGUGUGUGUGUGUGUGUGUGUGUGUGUGUGUGUGUGUGUGUGUGUGUGUGUGUGUGUGUGUGUGUGUGUGUGUGUGUGUGUGUGUGUGUGUGUGUGUGUGUGUGUGUGUGUGUGUGUGUGUG
rnacentral:lncRNA from 1 species